rnacentral:lncRNA from 1 species
GAUGACAGCCAAUCAUUUGUUAAUUUUAAUUAUUAUUCUAUAAUAUUUUUAUAAGUUUUUAGAGUAUUGCAUGGUCAAAGAGAAGAAUUUACGAAGAAAUUAGCACAUAAAAGAGUUUGAAGACAAAAGACCAAAGAAGAAAAAGACUUAGAAAAUAUUUCAAGAUUUUGAGCUCAUUCAAGGCUUGCACUUCUGUUUUUAUCGCGCCCCA